rnacentral:rRNA from 1 species
CCUACGGGAGGCAGCAGUGAGGAAUAUUGGUCAAUGGCCGGAAGGCUGAACCAGCCAAGCCGCGUGAAGGACGAAGGUGCCAAGCAUUGUAAACUUCUUUUGUCAAGGGACAAAAUCAGGCUCGAGAGCCUGACCGAGGGUACUUGAAGAAAAAGCAUCGGCUAACUCCGUGCCAGCAGCCGCGGUAAUACGGAGGAUGCGAGGGUUAUCGGGUUUUAUUGGGGUUAAGGGGUGCGUAGGGGGGCUGUUAAGUCCGCGGUAAAAGCCCGGGGCUAAACCCCGGCGCGCCGUUGAAACUGGUUGUCUUGAGAUGUCGAGAGGUAUGCGGAAUGCGCAGUGUAGCGGUGAAAUGCUUAGAUAUUGCGCAGAACGCCGAUUGCGAAGGCAGCAUACCGGCGGCGGUCUGACGCUGAGGCACGAAAGCGUGGGUAUCGAACAGGAUUAGAUACCCGAGUAGUC